AACUUUCCUAACAAAGAACCCACUCCUUCACCCACAAACUUGUCUCUUUCAUCCACUUGCUAUUCAUGGAAAGAAUUUAUCAAUAAAAUAAUUACAAUUUGUUUUUGGUUUAAUAAAAUAACACAAUAUUUCCUUCCAAGAUGUCUAGAAAGUUCUUAAUAAUACACAUCUUUAAUAUUAUUUUUUCUCACUACACUUCACUCUCUCUUUCUAUAUAAACCCUCACAACACUUCCUCUUUAGCUUUCUUCAAAUAUAGGUAAGACACCUCAUCUUGUUUUUUUUUUUCUUUCAACUGCCUUAACGACUUUCGAAAUUUCUUCUUUCACAAAAUAACUCCCUUCUCCUUUACAAAAAAAAAACUUCCCAAAUUUCCAAUGUUUCAUCUUUUUUCUUUCUCCUUCUUACACUCAUCACCAUUUCAUUGAGUCUAAUCCUUUCCUUUAUUAUGAGCAUUUUCACUUCUUUUAAAAUCUCCCUCUGCUUUCACUUCUUUUAAAUUUCCCUUAUUAUUAGUCAAUUUUAAAGCAAACUCAAACUAUCUCCACCGCGACUCUGUUGUUUUCGAGCAACCCUCAAAUUUUAGGUCGUGAAUUAUAAAAUGAACUAUUUGUACCCGGUGAAAGAAGAGUAUUUGGAAAUUGAAGCAACCCCGUCAUCAUUGACAUAUGAAAGAGGAAGUGAUGAGGGAUCAACGGUUGUUAUUCCACGGCCAAUGGAGGGGCUUCAUGAAGUAGGACCACCACCAUUUCUUACAAAGACAUUUGAUGUUGUGGAGGACCCCACAACAAGUCACAUAGUUUCAUGGAGCAGAGGUGGUGCUAGCUUUGUUGUUUGGGAUCCAAAUGCUUUCUCCAGAGACCUUCUUCCUAGAUACUUCAAACACAACAAUUUCUCAAGUUUUGUUAGACAACUCAACACCUAUGGUUUUAGAAAAAUUGAUCCUGAUAAAUGGGAGUUUGCAAAUGAAGGAUUUCUAAGAGGACAUAAACAUCUUUUAGCAAACAUUAAGAGAAGGAGACAAACAUCACAACCUAGUACUUCCCAACAACAAUCAUCACAUUCACAAGGUCAUUGUGUUGAAGUUGGUCGUUUUGGAUUAGACGAAGAAAUCGAUCAUUUGAGGCGCGACAAACAAGUGUUAAUGAUGGAACUUGUGAAGCUUAGACAACAGCAACAUAAUACAAGAUCCAUUCUUCAAGCAAUGGAGGAAAGGCUACGUGGAACUGAAAUUAAGCAGCAACAAAUGAUGGCUUUUUUGGCCAGAGCUAUGAAAAAUCCAGCUUUUAUUCAGCAAUUACUUCAACAGAAGGAAAAGAGAAAGGAGAUUGAAGAUGCUAUUACUAAGAAGAGGAGAAGGCCAAUUGAGUAUGGAGAAUCAAGUAAUGGUGGCGAUGGAAGGAGUAGUGUUCGAUAUGGAUUUGAAGUGUCAGAGUUGGAAAUGUUGGCUAUGGAAAUGCAGGGUCUUGGAAGAGGUGGUGGAGAACAUGAGGAAGAGAUUGAGGUAUUUGAGACUAAUGAGAAAUUGAAUAAAGAACUUGAUGAAGGGUUUUGGGAAGAACUUUUUAGUGAGAAAUUUGAGAGUGAAUUAGAUAUUCUAACUUCUCAAGAUGAUGAUGAUGAUGAUGAUGAAGAUAUCAAUGUGUUGUCCAAUCGCUUUGGUUACUUAGGUUCUAGUUCGAAAUGAAUUACGCUUAAUCGAGAUUAACCUUCUUCUUAUGGUUGACUGAUUGGGAUUCGGACUCAAAAUCGAUCGGACACUAGUAGUGUGAUCUUGGUUGGCAACUUGGUGUGACAGUAAAACUACCAAGCAAAAAAUCUGUGGAAACCAUUUAAAUUUUUGUGUUUCUAACUCUUAUAAUAUAUGUCCUUUUGUAGUAACAGGUUAAGUGUAUGUUUGGUAUACUAAUGGGUUGGUCAAAAUUAUAGUAGCAUCGUGAUUUUGUCAAACUCACCACGAUACCAGACAAACACGAAAAUUUCAAUUUCUCAUGUUUCUCUCUUAUUGAUUAGGUAGGUUCUGCAGCUGUUGAUUGGACAAGAACCUCUGGUAGUUGAUAGAGAUGAUUAUUAACUCAAGAUGAUUCAGAAGAUGUAGAAUGGUACGAAGUAGCUGAUGAUCAAGAAUCAUAACUGAAUUUGCUUUUUGAGUGAAGAUCCUGUUGGUGGUUAACCUUGUCGGUUUGAUAUUUUUUUCUUCCCUUUUAAACUUUACAAUUGUUUGUACUUUUGUCUUGUGGUCAUGAAAUAAAAAGGGAAAGAGAGAGGCACCAUCAACGAAUUUCAUGAUGUUACAUAUGUAGUGUUUUGCUAGGUAUCUUCAUGUGUUCAAGAUUCCUUUCUCAUUUAAAAAUAAUAAUAUUUGAAGAAUUAUUUGGGGGACAAAAUUGUGUGUGCACUAUGUUCUUGAGAAAUGAGUGGACUGAAUUAGAGUGAGGAAAAUAUGAUAAAACUAACAAUUGCUUUCACUCCUUUUUCAAUGAGGAAGAAUAGAUAGGAGUGAUGAAAGAUAAUCAAUGAGAGGUUGAUAUUAGAGAUUUUUCAAAAGGGGAGAGAAUACUUAUUUUGAGUGGAUAAUUUUUGAAAAAAAAAUAAAAUCUUUAAUUUAAGUAAUGAUUUGUUCAUGUUUCUCACAUGGAUUAAGGUUUGCAUGAUUUUUCUUGUUAUCAAGAGUGAAAAAAGAUAACAUUAUUUUCUUGUUCAUGUUAUAUUAAGAGUGUAAAAAGAUAACAUUACUUUCUUUCAUCCAAUUUUUCAUGAGGUUGUGUCUAACGGAAUAUGUUAGAAUUUUUUUCUUUUGAACAAGGAAUAUGUUAGAAUUGUACAAUAUAGCGAAUCAAUGUUUAAAUUUCGGUUGAUAAAAGUGUCCAUAUUUAAUAUUCAACAAUUUUUCAAAUGAAAUUACUUCAAGUGAAAGGUAUGUGAGAAAACAAAAGAAUAAUCUCUUUUAUAUUCUCUUCAUGAAAAUAAUGUACAAAAGAAUAAAGUUAACAAUAACACACUCUUGAACAUACAAUUUUUAACAUAUUCUUCAUCAUUGGUUAAAAUAUAUGAAUGUUUUACCAAAUUUUGACAAGAUUAACAUGGAUUGGUGGAGCUCAUAUGAGUUUUAAACAAACAAAUGAAAGUGUAUUAGAAAUUGUGUAUUAAAGAUGUGUUGUUAACACUUCUCAUAUAUAAGGUCCACUUGUUAUCCAUUGUCAUAUUUUUUUUUUUAUAAUAUCAAACAUAUUUCCAAUGAUUUAUUUUGUCGGUCUUGAGGCUUAAAGAGCAACCAUCUACUUUAAAACGAUUAUAUGGAGAUCCAAGUUGUAAUUUGUCUAUGUUAAAUCUCUAUGUUUGAGUCCAAUCUAGAACACCUAUAAUUACGGUGUAGAAAAUAAAGUGUAUAAACUCAAUGUUAUCAAACAAUUAUAUGUACAUUCUUUGUAAAUUGUAUAUGUUAUCAUGUGAUUGUGUGAUCUAUGUAAUCAGAUCAAAUUUUGGACAUCCAUUUUGAUAAACAAAGUUCAUUAAUAUGAGUGUUAAGCACUUCGAAAGCAAGACAAAGGGUUAGGAACACUAAAAGGAAAGAUUUAUCUCUAACUACAAACAAAAUGCCAAGUAUGAUGCUGUCCUUUGAAAACGACGUCAUUUCGCACCAGCCACAAACACCAAGUCAUAUCAGUAUUCCUCCAAACAUGUUCAAUGGCAUUGAUGUCCCUAACCAUAAUUGUGUCACAUUUUCCAUUUAUUAAAGGCAAAUAAUGCACACCAAAACUUGAAUGUUAGAUGGCACACUAGAACUCCACAAUUCUCAUAUUAUUUUCUUGAACCCUCCCUUUGUCAUGCUCUGAUUCAUAGCAGAAUUGAGCUUCGUGUAACAUGAUCUAACUGUGGAUUUUCUUUUUUGGUACAAAAGAUUCAUUUAUUUAAUUGAAUAAAUGAUGCUAAAAUAGUUCAAAUAAAUGUUAAAAUUUAAAGAAAAUAGUCUCAAAAAUUUCAUAAUUUAUCUAAAUAUACCACAAUUUCAUGAUUUGAGCAUGACUGCAUUGUUCAUGAAGUGAAAUUCAAUGGUAAAAGUCUGACCUUGCAACAUCAAAAGUUCAAAUCCCCUCAAGAUGUUGUUUGAUGAUCAUUAUUGUCACUUUUUCUGGACAAAAAUAAACGAUAUUCGUUCAAAUAGAUAGAAUAAUCGAUACAAUAUAAAUUCAAAGUUGUUAAAAACAAAAAGAAUGAAUAUAUGAACAAACUCACAACAUAGUGUCGCUUUAGUCAAUAAUAAUUUCUCCAUAUAUUCUCUAUUUUUUUUAAUGAUAGCAUUA